CCUACGGGAGGCAGCAGUGAGGAAUAUUGGUCAAUGGGCGGAAGCCUGAACCAGCCAAGUAGCGUGCAGGAUGACGGCCCUACGGGUUGUAAACUUCUUUUAUACGGGAAUAACGCGCCUUACGUGUCCGGCUUUGCAUGUACCUUAUGAAUAAGGACCGGCUAAUUCCGUGCCAGCAGCCGCGGUAAUACGGAAGGUCCGGGCGUUAUCCGGAUUUAUUGGGUUUAAAGGGAGCGUAGGCCGGAUGUUCAGCGUGCUGUGAAAUGUCCGGGGUCAACCCGGGCCUUGCAGGGCGAACUGGGGUGCUUGAGUGAGAGGAGAGGAGGCGGAAUUCGGCGGGUAGCGGUGAAAUGCUUAGAUAAGAGGAAGAAACCCGAUUGCGAAGGCAGCUUGCUGAAGCGGAACUGACGCUGAUGCUCGAAAGCGCGGGUAUUGAACAGGAUUAGAUACCCCUGGUAGUC
rnacentral:rRNA from 1 species